UGUUGAGCUACAGCUAAACCUGUUUUGUUUUUACUGUAAAAUCAGAAACUAGUUCAGACCCAAGAAACCAGCAGGUGUGUUAACCUGCUUUAAUAGGUCAAUCGAGCCCCGAGUAACAAUGUGAAUCAGAAAAUGCCUUGUAUAACUCGCCACGACCAGGAGACAAAAGGGGGGGGCGGGGGAACCUUGAAUUAAUUUCAGCUGUCAUGAUUAAUUCAUUUCAGCUGUCAUGAAUGAUGGGUUUCUAGUCAGUAAUUGUACCUUUACUCUUUGAAUCCUCAGCACACCACAACUAAGUUUUGGAGUGUGCACUGCUGCUGGAGAAAUGCAGUCAUAAGCAUCAUUUUGGCUGAGUCAUUGGAUCUAUGACAAAACAGGCCAUACCCAUGACCCCAGUGAGCAGUUCUGUGGUGAAAAGUUUGUCUGUGCAUUCAGCUGUGGAAUGUGAAGCUGGAAGUGGGGCCUUGCUGUUCCGUACAGCGGCCAGAUGUGCAAAGCCUGGAGGAGGGGAAGAGAGGAGAAAAGAGGAGAGAAGAAGAAGAAGAAAAAAGCCACGUGUUUCACUGGCAUAAUAAGCAGGCAUCCAGUUUCUGCUGCAGCCCACAGGCAGAGGCCCAGGCCGUGACUGGCCCUCCCAGACCAUUACAGUUUUCCUCUACAGAUCUUUUAUGAUAUUACAGCGUGUGACAACAGUGCUAGUUUGGCUAAAACACUCGUAAGGUGUCGCUUCCAUUUCCACAGAAGUGGACAAUAAAGUCUUUAUUUAUCUAUCUAUUCCACAGAAGUAACAAUAAAGUCUCUAUCUAUCUAUCUAUUUAUUUAUCUAUCUAUCUCGGCAUAGAUAGAUAGAUAGCCUGUUAGGCUUGUAAUGUAUCAGAAUGAGCAUCACAAACUGAGACAAGCGCAUGUAGCCAAUUGCUGUGCUGUUGAAAGUAUGCAUAGCAGGUGCCGCCUAUCGGGUGAAAAUAAGCAAGCAUCAGAAAAAAUAAGUGAAUAAAUUGACUGUUCAUUAGCUGUUUAUUUUCACAACAUAUUCUGCACAGUGUUAAAAUAAAAAGCUGCAGGUAUUCUUCGGCCUGCAGUGGAAGUCCGCAGAGGAACGCUGUAAAGGUGAAUACCUCGCCUUUAUUGAACAACUGCCCUGAUUGAUUAAUUGAUUGAUUGAUUUUUAUUUUGGGUGAAAUAAUACCUACAUAAGGGUGGCAGAGUGGAGAAGGUUCUGGGUUCAUAUCUUGGCCCGGGUCUUUAGUUAGUGUGCAUGUUCUCCCUGUGUCCGCGCGGGUUUCGUCCAGGUACUCCGGUUCCCUCCCACAGCCCAAAGACAUGCAGGGGUAAUCCUCCCCUCUGCCGGGAUAUGAAUGAACAGAUUUUCUCUUUCCACACAGGCUUAGAAAGAGGGGAUUUCAGUAACAGAUAAAAAAAAUAUGAAACUCUCUGGAUUACAGAGGGAUAAGCUGACCCAGAGGGCAGGUCAGCUCAUUGUGGUAAUGGCUGAAUAUGCUGAAUGGCUCUACUUUACAUGGUUUCAAAAUGACACAAAUUCUGCCUCUUACACUGAGUCAGUUAAACAAAAAAUACAUGCUUACAUUAAUAUUAUUUUUUAUUACUAGAGUAUUACUAGAGUGUUUAGAUAUGAAUUGUAAUUUAAUAUAAAAUAUAAAACACCACUUGGAACAUAGAUACAAAUGCCUAUUAUCUGUAUGAUGUCGAGUAUAUGCUGAUGUGGAUUUCUCUUGAACUGAACAGAACUGAACUGAACUGAAGUGCC